CCUACGGGGUGCAGCAGUGAGGAAUAUUGGUCAAUGGACGAGAGUCUGAACCAGCCAAGUAGCGUGAAGGAUGACUGCCCUAUGGGUUGUAAACUUCUUUUAUAUGGGAAUAAAAUGUUCCACGUGUGGGAUUUUGUAUGUACCAUAUGAAUAAGGAUCGGCUAACUCCGUGCCAGCAGCCGCGGUAAUACGGAGGAUCCGAGCGUUAUCCGGAUUUAUUGGGUUGAAAGGGAGCGGAGGUGGAUUGUUAAGUCCGUUGUGAAAGUUUGCGGCUCAACCGUAAAAUUGCAGUUGAAACUGGCAGUCUUGAGUACAGUAGAGGUGGGCGGAAUUCGUGGUGUAGCGGUGAAAUGCUUAGAUAUCACGAAGAACUCCGAUUGCGAAGGCAGUUCACUGGACUGCAACUGACACUGAGGCUCGAAAGUGUGGGUAUCAAACAGGAUUAGAUACCCUUGUAGUC
rnacentral:rRNA from 1 species